CCUACGGGAGGCUGCAGUGGGGAAUAUUGGACAAUGGGGGGAACCCUGAUCCAGCCAUGCCGCGUGUGUGAAGAAGGCCCUCGGGUUGUAAAGCACUUUCAGUGAGGAAGAACGCCUGGUGGUUAAUACCCAUCAGGAAAGACAUCACUCACAGAAGAAGCACCGGCUAACUCCGUGCCAGCAGCCGCGGGAAUACGGAGGGUGCGAGCGUUAAUCGGAAUUACUGGGCGUAAAGCGCGCGUAGGUGGCUUGAUAAGCCGGUUGUGAAAGCCCCGGGCUCAACCUGGGAACGGCAUCCGGAACUGUCAAGCUAGAGUGCAGGAGAGGAAGGUAGAAUUCCCGGUGUAGCGGUGAAAUGCGUAGAGAUCGGGAGGAAUACCAGUGGCGAAGGCGGCCUUCUGGACUGACACUGACACUGAGGUGCGAAAGCGUGGGUAGCAAACAGGAUUAGAUACCCUUGUAGUC
rnacentral:rRNA from 1 species